rnacentral:rRNA from 1 species
UACGAAGGGGGCUAGCGUUGCUCGGAAUUACUGGGCGUAAAGGGCGCGUAGGCGGCUUGCUCAGUCAGGCGUGAAAUUCCUGGGCUCAACCUGGGGACUGCGCUUGAGACGUGUGGGCUUGAGUGGGGAAGAGGGUCGUGGAAUUCCCAGUGUAGAGGUGAAAUUCGUAGAUAUUGGGAAGAACACCGGUGGCGAAGGCGGCGACCUGGUCCUUGACUGACGCUGAGGCGCGAAAGCGUGGGGAGCAAACAGG